CCUAUUUCCCUUAGACUGCCAAGCACACAAUGUCAGAGUCCGUCCGGUAGAGCAACAUGCCAUAUUCUGGGUUAUUUAUAUGGAUUUUCUUCUCCUCAUGGGGAAUAAUUGCGGGCAAUGAGAUGACUCUUCCUCAUGUGAUGAAGUACCAAACAGUGAUACCUCAGAGGCUGAAGGAUUCAUCUCGCAUUAAUGAUGCCACUACACAUCAGACAUACCCUGUUGUACUC